AAUCCAUAGGUUAAUGAGGCGAACCGGGGGAACUGAAACAUCUAAGUACCCCGAGGAAAAGAAAUCAACCGAGAUUCCCCCAGUAGCGGCGAGCGAACGGGGAGGAGCCCAGAGCCUGAAUCAGCAUGUGUGUUAGUGGAAGCGUCUGGAAAGGCGCGCGAUACAGGGUGACAGCCCCGUACACAAAAGCGCAUGUGCUGUGAGCUCGAUGAGUAGGGCGGGACACGUGGUAUCCUGUCUGAAUAUGGGGGGACCAUCCUCCAAGGCUAAAUACUCCUGACUGACCGAUAGUGAACCAGUACCGUGAGGGAAAGGCGAAAAGAACCCCGGCGAGGGGAGUGAAAAAGAACCUGAAACCGUGUACGUACAAGCAGUGGGAGCACCCUUUGGGUGUGACUGCGUACCUUUUGUAUAAUGGGUCAGCGACUUAUAUUCUGUAGCAAGGUUAACCGAAUAGGGGAGCCGGAGGGAAACCGAGUCUUAACCGGGCGUUAAGUUGCAGGGUAUAGACCCGAAACCCGGUGAUCUAGCCAUGGGCAGGUUGAAGGUUGGGUAACACUAACUGGAGGACCGAACCGACUAAUGUUGAAAAAUUAGCGGAUGACCUGUGGCUGGGGGUGAAAGGCCAAUCAAACCGGGAGAUAGCUGGUUCUCCCCGAAAGCUAUUUAGGUAGCGCCUCGUGAAUUCAUCUCCGGGGGUAGAGCACUGUUUCGGCUAGGGGGCCAUCCCGGCUUACCAACCCGAUGCAAACUGCGAAUACCGGAGAAUGUUAUCACGGGAGACACACGGCGGGUGCUAACGUCCGUCGUGAAGAGGGAAACAACCCAGACCGCCAGCUAAGGUCCCAAAGUCAUGGUUAAGUGGGAAACGAUGUGGGAAGGCCCAGACAGCCAGGAUGUUGGCUUAGAAGCAGCCAUCAUUUAAAGAAAGCGUAAUAGCUCACUGGUCGAGUCGGCCUGCGCGGAAGAUGUAACGGGGCUAAACCAUGCACCGAAGCUGCGGCAGCGACACUGUGUGUUGUUGGGUAGGGGAGCGUUCUGUAAGCCUGUGAAGGUGUGUCGUGAGGCAUGCUGGAGGUAUCAGAAGUGCGAAUGCUGACAUAAGUAACGAUAAAGCGGGUGAAAAGCCCGCUCGCCGGAAGACCAAGGGUUCCUGUCCAACGUUAAUCGGGGCAGGGUGAGUCGACCCCUAAGGCGAGGCCGAAAGGCGUAGUCGAUGGGAAACGGGUUAAUAUUCCCGUACUUGGUGUUACUGCGAAGGGGGGACGGAGAAGGCUAUGUUGGCCGGGCGACGGUUGUCCCGGUUUAAGCGUGUAGGUGUGUGUUCCAGGUAAAUCCGGUUCACUUUAACACUGAGGCGUGACGACGAGGCACUACGGUGCUGAAGCAACAAAUGCCCUGCUUCCAGGAAAAGCCUCUAAGCAUCAGGUAACAUCAAAUCGUACCCCAAACCGACACAGGUGGUCAGGUAGAGAAUACCAAGGCGCUUGAGAGAACUCGGGUGAAGGAACUAGGCAAAAUGGUGCCGUAACUUCGGGAGAAGGCACGCUGACACGUAGGUGAAGUGAUUUACUCAUGGAGCUGAAGUCAGUCGAAGAUACCAGCUGGCUGCAACUGUUUAUUAAAAACACAGCACUGUGCAAACACGAAAGUGGACGUAUACGGUGUGACGCCUGCCCGGUGCCGGAAGGUUAAUUGAUGGGGUCAGCGCAAGCGAAGCUCCUGAUCGAAGCCCCGGUAAACGGCGGCCGUAACUAUAACGGUCCUAAGGUAGCGAAAUUCCUUGUCGGGUAAGUUCCGACCUGCACGAAUGGCGUAAUGAUGGCCAGGCUGUCUCCACCCGAGACUCAGUGAAAUUGAACUCGCUGUGAAGAUGCAGUGUACCCGCGGCAAGACGGAAAGACCCCGUGAACCUUUACUAUAGCUUGACACUGAACAUUGAGCCUUGAUGUGUAGGAUAGGUGGGAGGCUUUGAAGUGUGGACGCCAGUCUGCAUGGAGCCGACCUUGAAAUACCACCCUUUAAUGUUUGAUGUUCUAACGUGGACCCGUUACCCGGGUUGCGGACAGUGUCUGGUGGGUAGUUUGACUGGGGCGGUCUCCUCCUAAAGAGUAACGGAGGAGCACGAAGGUUGGCUAAUCCUGGUCGGACAUCAGGAGGUUAGUGCAAUGGCAUAAGCCAGCUUGACUGCGAGCGUGACGGCGCGAGCAGGUGCGAAAGCAGGUCAUAGUGAUCCGGUGGUUCUGAAUGGAAGGGCCAUCGCUCAACGGAUAAAAGGUACUCCGGGGAUAACAGGCUGAUACCGCCCAAGAGUUCAUAUCGACGGCGGUGUUUGGCACCUCGAUGUCGGCUCAUCACAUCCUGGGGCUGAAGUAGGUCCCAAGGGUAUGGCUGUUCGCCAUUUAAAGUGGUACGCGAGCUGGGUUUAGAACGUCGUGAGACAGUUCGGUCCCUAUCUGCCGUGGGCGCUGGAGAACUGAGGGGGGCUGCUCCUAGUACGAGAGGACCGGAGUGGACGCAUCACUGGUGUUCGGGUUGUCAUGCCAAUGGCACUGCCCGGUAGCUAAAUGCGGAAGAGAUAAGUGCUGAAAGCAUCUAAGCACGAAACUUGCCCCGAGAUGAGUUCUCCCUGAGACUUAGAGUCUCCUGAAGGAACGUUGAAGACGACGACGUUGAUAGGCCGGGUGUGUAAGCG
rnacentral:rRNA from 1 species